UCAGCUAUAGCCCGACUAACGUGCGCGCCGCUAUUAAUGCCCAUCGCUCCACAAUCUUCUCCCAUUCCCAUCGCAUACCUUUCCUUCUCCCCUCCAGCCGCGCUACACAUCUUCUACGCAAGCUGCAACCUAUCAAGCCCUUCAUCAGAAAUCUUAUCAUGUCUACCGUACGGCGCGGCGGCCGGGAUCCCAUGUGCUCCUCCGGCACGACUGCCGAUCUGGCUCUCCUCCGCGGCACUCCGGGAUUCUCUUGGGCUACGUCCCCCUUGCUGGUGUGGUGCAUGCAUCGUAAGAGGCGGUGCCCUGGUCCUCCCGUCCCGUCUAUGUCUCCGUUUCAUCCACGGUAGCUCCGGCGCUGCUCCUCCACUGGCCGUCUGCACUACUCAAGCCAGCCGCAACCUCUUCUUACAUCCACCGUCCAGACAGUUGUCGCCUCCCUUCCCCGUUCAUGGCCCAAGCUUGCCGCACAACCCCACUGCGGCUGCCUCAUCAGUUACAUCAGGCCACCCUAUGCAUGUUGACAUCAUUUAGAGAUGCUUCUACUACACACUCCAGGUAUGCUGUGGAUUUCCCCCUUUUGACUAUUUCCAAAAAAUUAAGUGAUCAAGAUUGGUUCUUUACUGUCGCAAUUUCUCUUUCGAUUCCUAUAAUAUCUCUAUUCCUCUUCGUCAUAGUGUCUUUAUCCAUCAUCUUUCUUUUCUGUUAUUUUUUGGGAUGGCUCCGUGCACAUGUGUCCCUUGAUUUUGCAGCAGGCCGCACCUACUUCUACUACCGCAUGAAGGAUGUUCCAUAUCCCUGCCUCUUUAUCUGCAUUCAACCUUCCGACCACUGCAUUUUUAUUCGUCUACAGAGAUCAAUAUUGCACUGUAUGACCAGAUCAUGUGCUCAAGAUUUUUAUGGUUAAUGUUGUCACUUUGUGAUUAUCUCUAUACUACAAUCUGUAUUAUUUUCGUAAUAAUUACAAUGGUUUGUUCGUUUUAUUCCUGCAAGUGUACGUGCAUUCUAGGCAUUCCCUUAUAUUUUACCCAAAUCAAUAUGACCUCACUGACGCCCGAUGAGCUUCUGUGCUCUUCAAUCAGUAUGCCACAUGCGAAUGACUGAUGAAGAUUUUCUCUACUCUUAAAUCCGAGUGAUCUUAAUAUUGCAAAACUUCCUUCGCUUCCAGGUUUUAUGCUUCAACUUAUAAUGCAUGUACUUAGUAUAAAGGUUAGUACUGCAAAACUUUCUUCACUUUCAGUCUCGGUGCCGCCUACGAGCACCUCAACCUGCACAAAGAUUGGGAGAAAAGGAUGGCAAUCAAUUUCCUAUGAGUCAACAUGAUCAGGUAGAUAUGCAGCCGACAGAAGCAUUUGCUUGGUCAGGGGAGGAGAAGGAGAACUGUUGUGUCACACAUGAACUACACCAUGAACUACUCCUCUGCUUCGUUAGUCGGAUGCAUUAUUUUUUGCAUGCAUUGCUAAAGAAGCCCUCUAAAGAAAUUACUUUACAAAAAUGUUCAAAUCUUCUCUAAUGGUCUGCCGUCAAUAAUCUUCUGUGUCAUUCAACAAACUUCUAUUUGUAAUCUCUGAUGUGUGUUGAAUGUAUCUCUAGAUAGUCGCAAUAUUUUGAUGAUUGCAGGUUACUUUUUUUUAUUCGGCGAUUGAGUCUCAAUCAUUCCGAUGCUUUAGUGUUGUGACUUGUGAGUUACUUCAACAUAUAUGCACACCCGAGAGUGUUUACAAGUAUAGGCAUGUGAGCUGUCCAAGGAAGAAGAUAUUAUCUGAUGGAAUCAUCUAGCAGUUCCUGAUGGUUGUGCUCUCAAGUGCUAUUUUCCUAAUAUAUAGACGUAAGAACAUCUUCUGCUUUAAUUGUUAUAGCAUAUUGUCAUUCUUUUAUUGCUUCAGUGUUACGCCCAUAGUCUAAUUAUGUCCAGCUUUUAUGGAAUUAGAAACAGUAACUUUACUAAUCUCUCUUCACUGUCAUAGUUGUUUGACAUAUCGUACAUGCCAUUGUUUUUGGAACAAGUUAUCCUGACUUCCAAAGCCAUAAUUUUUACAAUAUUAAUUACAAUAUAAUAGACGGAAUGCUUAAUAUGCUUAUGGAAAGCUAUAUUCAGCUAUUGAACCAAAGUUCUUCACUAUGCUAAGUUUAAGAACUUACUCACUUACCUGGCAUUGUCUUAUGAAGUCAAAUGUGCUUACUACUUUAUGUCAUUUGAAACUUACUUUUCUCGCUAAUUGUCGUAUAAUAAUUUACUUCACUGAAUGUAGUAGAGGGUCAAUAAAAUUGCAGAAUUAUGAUAUAGCCUGAACUGGUAUGUUUCUGUUCUCGCCAUCAUGCACAUCUUCUUGCACACUAUUCUGUUUCUACUCUUCAAGUGCCAGCAUUGUCCUUCCUGUUAAUGUAGAUGACUGCUCGCUGUUGUCGCAAGAUGAAGAUAAGAAGUGAGAUAUGAUGCAAGUGACUAAGAAGAAGCAUUACCACCUCCAAAGGAAAUCUCCAAUGCCUAUUUGAAUUCAGGGUUUUUUAUUUGCACUUUGUUUGUCAGAUGUUUUGGUUGAGCGAAUGAUUGAGUAGUCACCGGAAGCAAGAACGCCACCAAAUAUUGAUAUAAACACAUGGUCUUUGUAUUUUCCUAUAGCCAGUUGUGCAUUGUUCAGUUUUAUGAAAUGGUUUUAUUUUACCUGA